rnacentral:rRNA from 1 species
UGCAGUCGAGCGAACAGAUAAGGAGCUUGCUCCUUUGACGUUAGCGGCGGACGGGUGAGUAACACGUGGAUAACCUACCUAUAAGACUGGGAUAACUUCGGGAAACCGGAGCUAAUACCGGAUAACAUAUUGAACCGCAUGGUUCAAUAGUGAAAGGCGGCUUUGCUGUCACUUAUAGAUGGAUCCGCGCCGUAUUAGCUAGUUGGUAAGGUAACGGCUUACCAAGGCAACGAUACGUAGCCGACCUGAGAGGGUGAUCGGCCACACUGGAACUGAGACACGGUCCAGACUCCUACGGGAGGCAGCAGUAGGGAAUCUUCCGCAAUGGGCGAAAGCCUGACGGAGCAACGCCGCGUGAGUGAUGAAGGUCUUCGGAUCGUAAAACUCUGUUAUCAGGGAAGAACAAAUGUGUAAGUAACUGUGCACAUCUUGACGGUACCUGAUCAGAAAGCCACGGCUAACUACGUGCCAGCAGCCGCGGUAAUACGUAGGUGGCAAGCGUUAUCCGGAAUUAUUGGGCGUAAAGCGCGCGUAGGCGGUUUUUUAAGUCUGAUGUGAAAGCCCACGGCUCAACCGUGGAGGGUCAUUGGAAACUGGAAAACUUGAGUGCAGAAGAGGAAAGUGGAAUUCCAUGUGUAGCGGUGAAAUGCGCAGAGAUAUGGAGGAACACCAGUGGCGAAGGCGACUUUCUGGUCUGUAACUGACGCUGAUGUGCGAAAGCGUGGGGAUCAAACAGGAUUAGAUACCCUGGUAGUCCACGCCGUAAACGAUGAGUGCUAAGUGUUAGGGGGUUUCCGCCUCUUAGUGCUGCAGCUAACGCAUUAAGCACUCCGCCUGGGGAGUACGACCGC